GGGGAUAACCACCAAAGGAGCUGGAGAUCUGGGCAGGCACUUUUUUCCUGUCUUUAUUCAACAAGACCCCAAAUGGAGAAACUGAAGCACCAACAGCAUGUGGAGGAGGGAUUAAAUCUCAGGAGGCUCACCCCAGCUCCAGCACUGAGCUCUUGGAGAUGGAAAGAUCCAAGGAUCUGUGUGUGGCAAAUCUCUUCCAUCCAGGAGUGUUCACAACAGACUUGUAGCAUCUUCUGCUUCCGGCAGUUGCAUAACCACGGGAUCACAGGAUCAUGGAAUGGUUUGGGUUGGAAGGGACCUUAAAUCUCAUCCCAUUCCACCCCCUGCCACGGGCAGGGACACCUCCCACUGUCCCAGGCUGCUCCAAGCCCCA
rnacentral:lncRNA from 1 species